CCUCUUAAGCCCACGUAUGCUCAAGGGCAGGGCACACUCCACAUUAUCCAUGCAUAUGCAUCAUGUAAUCCACAAGAUCUUCUUAGCUUAUGUCAUGCGAUAACUACCAUCAUCUUGUUCUUAAUUUUGGAGUGUGUCCGUGCAAUGGGUGGCCGUGCUUCACACGCCUAUAGAGCGUGGGCUAAUGGUGGCCAUGGAGGCUAGCUAAGCUACUUCUUCUUGGGGAGGAAUGGCUAUGCAUGGCCUCCAUAGUCGACGACUUUUACCUCUACUAAGGUAGGGCAACUUGUAUCCUUUGGCAAUUAUUCGGUGGAUGUCUGUUGGUGGUGGUGUUAGGGAUUGGAGCCGGAUGAAUCUUGAGUUUGAUCUUGGCUGUAUGAUGUUAGACAUAAAGAGGAUGGUGAAAUGGUAUAUGGAUGUACGAUGUUUGUGUUUCGGUCCUUGCUCUAAUAAUCAGUUGUUCUUAGUGUUUUGUUUUUUUUUUGCCCUCUUUGUUAAAUUGUAACCACCCUACAUAUAUGUACUAGUAUCACCAAUAAAGUGAUGAAUUUGAUAUUAGUAAUU
rnacentral:sRNA from 1 species